UACAGGGGGUGCAAACGUUGCUCGGAAUUAUUGGGCGUAAAGCGCGCGCAGGCGGUCCUUUAAGUCUGAUGUGAAAGCCCACGGCUCAACCGUGGAGGGUCAUUGGAAACUGGGGGACUUGAGUACAGAAGAGAAGAGUGGAAUUCCACGUGUAGCGGUGAAAUGCGUAGAGAUGUGGAGGAACACCAGUGGCGAAGGCGACUCUUUGGUCUAUAACUGACGCUGAGGCGCGAAAGCGUGGGGAGCAAACAGG
rnacentral:rRNA from 1 species